CCUACGGGAGGCAGCAGUGGGGAAUAUUGCACAAUGGGCGAAACCCUGAUGCAGCAACGCCGCGUGAGUGAGGAAGGAUUUCGGUAUGUAAAGCCCUAUUAGCAGGGAAUAGAAAAGAAGGUACCUGAAAAAGAAGCAUCGGCUAACUACGUGCCAGCAGCCGCGGUAAUACGUAGGGGGCAAGCGUUAUCCGGAUUUACUGGGUGUAAAGGGAGCGUAGACGGAAAGGUAAGUCAGAAGUGAAAGCCCAAGGCUCAACCAUGGGACUGCUUUUGAAACUGGCAAACUAGAGUACGGGUGAGGUAAGAGGAAUUCCUAGUGUAGCGGUGAAAUGCGUAGAUAUUAGGAGGAACACCAGUGGCGAAGGCGUCUUACUGGACCGUAACUGACGUUGAUGCUCGAAAGCGUGGGGAGCAAACAGGAUUAGAUACCCUUGUAGUC
rnacentral:rRNA from 1 species